UACGUAGGGGGCAAGCGUUGUCCGGAAUCAUUGGGCGUAAAGAGCGUGUAGGCGGCUUGGCAAGUCUCGCGUGAAUCCUGCGGCUCAACCGCAGGCGGUCGCGGGAAACUGCCUCGCUAGAGUCCGGAAGAGGAGAGUGGAAUUCCUGGUGUAGCGGUGGAAUGCGCAGAUAUCAGGAAGAACCACCCGUGGCGGAAGGCGGCUCUCUGGGGCGGUACUGACGCUGGAGACGCGAAAGCGUGGGGAGCGAACAGG
rnacentral:rRNA from 1 species